rnacentral:rRNA from 1 species
CCAUCCUUCUUCAAUAUUAUGACGCACCUCCUGGUUCACCUAGUCGAAGAGAUUUUCGUUCUCGGUCCUGUAUUUCUACACAAUAUGUUCCCCUUCGAGAGGUUCAUGGGAGUAUUAAAGAAAUAUGUUCGUAACCGUGCUAGGCCAGAAGGAAGCAUCGCCAAGGGCUAUGGAAAUGAGGAGGUAAUUGAGUUUUGUGUUGACUUUGUUCCUGACCUUAAGCCGAUUGGUCUUCCUCGAUCGCGGCACGAGGGGAGACUAAGUGGAAAAGGCACGAUCGGAAGGAAAUCAACGAUAUGUAUGGACGGCCAUUCUCUGACUGAAGCACACCACACUGUACUGGCCAAUUCCAGCUUGGUGGCUCCGUACUUUGAGAAACACAAGAAUAUUUUACGCUCGGACAACCCGGGGAAGCCUGAAUCCUGGAUUAGGAAGGCCCACAUGGAGACUUUCGGCAGUUGGUUGAGAAAACAUUUAAUGAAUGACAAUGAUGUUGUAGAUCAGCUGUACAUGUUGGCCAAGACACCAUCUUCGAUUAUAACGACUUUCCAAGGGUACGAGAUAAAUGGGAAUACAUUUUACACGAUCGCCCAAGAUAAAAAGAGCACCAACCAAAACAGUGGUGUCCGCUUUGAUGCAGCAACCGAGAAUGGGCAAAAGGUCACAUAUUAUGGUUACAUAGAGGAGAUAUGGGAACUUGACUAUGGACCCUCCUUUAAGGUCCCUUUGUUCCGGUGCAAAUGGUUCAAGCUAACAGGAGGUGGGGUAAAGGUGGACCAGCAAUACGGAAUGACAAUGGUGGAUUUCAACAAUCUUGGUUACCUUGACGAACCAUUCGUCCUAGCGAAAGAUGUCGCUCAGGUUUUCUAUGUGAAGGACAUGAGUAGCAAACCGAGGAAACGGAAAGAUAAGAAAACGAUCAGUACAUCAUGCGAUGAUCCAAAG